UGAGAGAUGCUCACCAAAUGUGUUACGGGCAUACAGUAUUGGAAAAGGCAGUAACUGCUGUGUGAAGGUUUAUAUUGUUGCAUUCUUAGGCAAUAACACUUUGGUUUGUCAGGCAUUCCUUAUUUUUAGUAACUGUGAGAUAGUCAACCUGUGUUACAGUUGCCAUGUUUAGACAAGUUUCUUAACCCUCCUCUUUUUUGAAAUGCAGCCUUUGUUCUGUGUCAUGAAGCACUUCUGCAACUUCUCGGCAUUUAAUAUAAACAUCAGAUGCAUAAAAAAUUAAAAGGUAUUGAUCUGUUUGUUCUUCAAGAAAUGUAGCAGGAACAGAGAAAGGGAGAUUUUGUUUACUUUCGGUCAGUGUUUAGUUGUGAGGUCUGCCAGCAGGCUGUUAUGCCAGGCUGAUGCUCUGCAUCUGGAUUAUGGACUGCUUAAUUCCCAUGCCCAUUAGGCAUGACACUGUGACACCUUUCUUCAAGGUGAUGUAAGUUACCAAAGAUGUCCUAUGCCAUGUGUCAGUCCUUGCUGUGAUGGGGUAGCCCAUUAAGAAAGGGUUUCCAUUUCAGAGUGUAACAGCACUUCCCACACCUUGCGAGCUCCCUGGGAAUGGGGCCAAACAGUUGAGAAAUGCUGCUCUGUGUUAUUUCUAUGUAUAGCUUCUUAAAGGAUAGAUUUUUGUGUUUCACUAUUUCCUAUGCUGACUUUCUCAUUUGAUCAAAACAUCAUUUGUCUACAUCCAUGACUAAUGUGUAAUGUGAUCCAUUUCACUUAUUUAUGUUUCUUGUAGAUGGAUUUGUUUUCUCAUUUUCUGUGCUGUACCAAAAGCAUUAAUUUUAACAACGCUUCCAUACCUUCCACUUCUCCUUACCAUGGCAGACGCUAUUACAAGUUUUGGUAAAUCUGCCCUUUUCAGCAACAUAUAUGUUAACUCUGUUGCAACAACAGAAUCUCUUUCAGUUCUUUGGACUGAGAAGGUAAGAGAGUAUGAAAAUGUUUGGUAAAUCAGAGAAGAAUUUUUUUUAGUUAGUGAUUUUAUGAAGGAAGAAGUGGUUGAAAACUAGUGAAAAAAGGUAUUAAAGUGAAACUGUACAGAGUUGUGGGGUCUUAGCUAGAAUCUGAUUCUACAACUAAAAGUAAAAUUUAUUAGCAAUUACUACAUUGCUAAUAAUUACAUAUUAUUAUUAUUAUAUCUUAUUAGUUGCUUCCCUUUUUGAAUAAUCAUAACUGGCAUGCUUGAGAUACUGUUGUUCAUUAGUAUUCAUUUAUUGAACAGUAGGAUUAUUUAAGGUAUGUGAUUUUGCUUGUGAACCUAAAUACUAAAUUAGUUACAAUUAAAUAAGGUAGAAUAUUCGUGUGCUUAAUAGCAGAAAAUCUAUCUCUAGUACUUGAAUACGUUUUUUUCCUUAUAGUUUUAAUGUGGGAAAUUUUUAUGCCAUGAUUUUUAAGUUCUAAGAUUAUAUUACCAUGGAGAACAGGGUUAUAUUCCCUUAGUGAAAUUAAGCUGAUUAUAUUGGCUCCAUGUCAAUUAUAUCUUUGUUGUGAGGCAUUUGUAGAGCACAGACAUCACUUACUGAGUGUAUUUGUUCUUAAGAGAGUUUUUGUUUUGCAGUAUGAAGGACUGUGCUGUACAUAAAAGAUGUCUUGGUGUAAAAUAUAUGAAUGUAAUUGCAUUCUUAAACUCAUCUGUAAACUCAGAUGUCAUAUCUUUUAAAAUUUUGCUAUAGUAACUAAUACUGCAUUUAAAAUGAUCAAGGUUCUCGCCUCAUUUCCUUUAAACUAAGACUAGAAAUAGUUUGAUCACCCAGUUCAGUGGGAAAUGCUUUUGAAAAGGUCUGGAGUCACUUAGCCAUUGUGGUGUUUGCAAUCGAGUAAGUGCUAAGAGGAGGGAAUUGAAGCAGCUAUGGUUCAUUUACUAGUACUGCAAAUAAUACAGUUUUCUAGCUUACCAUCUGUGUAGAAUAAAAUGCUUCUGCUCUUGUUAUUCUGCCAGAUAACAGCCAUGGUAAAAUGCACUAAUGUUGAAAGUGCAUAUCUAUAAUGUACAGAAAAUUUUAGGGAAGUUACAACUUAUUCUAAACUCUACGUUAUUAUUCUAGGCUUAAAAAUUGCCUUAGGAAUCUGGAGGAAAAAUUGUAACACGAUGAGGAAUGUAAAUGUGUUACGUACCUACAAAAUCUUGGCUUUGUCAUUUUAUCUUUAAUUAAUACCAAAUAAUCGCAUUCUUUCUACUACUACAUUAAACUGAUCCAAUGUUAAAUCUUUCUUUGAAUGUUGUUACAUUUUGCUGAAACGCAUAGGGUAUGUGCUGCUGGUUAUCUUCUGAUUUGAUGUCCUUGCUUUUCGGCUUUGUGCUAGGUACGUAGCAACCUCCCUAUGAAGCACUCCACUUUGUGUGUUAAUGCAAAAUACUGUUUUGCUGUUGUUGGCAAAUGGCUUUCUCUUGGAAGAUGAUAAUUAAAGGUACAUAAAAUCCGAAUUGUUUUAAAUUUUUGUAAGCGACAAGUAAAAAUGAGUCAUACGCGAGGGAAUUUUGUUAAUGGGGUUUCUGUCAUAACUAUGUCUGACACAUUCUAGAAAGCAGGCACUUAGUUUUGCACUGCUUGUUCUUUUAUCGGUAAAAACAAAACCUACAUUUUAAAAAUCUCACCAUGCCUGUACAGUAUGAUCUUUCCUGGUAUUAUUCUUCGGAGAAACUUUUUAUAGCUUUUCAUUUGUUAUUUAUUUAUUGUGGUGAGUUCAUCUCAGUGCACUGCUUUCAUUAACGAUUUCUAGAAAUCUUAUGAAAAUGGUCAUGUACCUGUUACUUCGUGUUUAUUAAUCUUGACCAAAAAAUUCCUAGCGUAGCUCUUCCAGAAGGCUUUGUAUAAUGACAGUGAAUCCUCAUUACGGCAGGAAAUGUGAUGUUCAGUGGCAAUGCCAUGUAGGCUCUGCUGUCUGAAGGUGCAAAUGCAUUUUGGAAUUCGGCUGUAUUCAUAUUACAGGUAACUGCUGAAUUUGGAAAAGUUAGUCUCAAACAGUUUGUGGUUUUAUGCCACCCUCCUCUCAAAAGUAAAAUGCAUAUAUACCUUACGGGGUUCAGUGUGUCCCUGUUAGGUCAUAAAAGUUGUCAGUUAUUUCAGUUGAGAUAUACGGGAAUGAAAUAGAGAAAGAAAAGAGCACUAAAUGGAAUUAUGUUGUUGAAGGGGAAUUCCUUUAAUGUUGAGGAAAUCAGAGCUAUUUAUGCAUAGUGGGAUCAGUGGUGUCAGCAGCUUUUUUUUGUAUUUUCUUUUAAAUUAAUCAGUAUUGCCCUAAAAGUAAGAUGAUUCUGUGUUCUUGUCCCGGAAUGGUAUGCACCAUUUGCAGAAGUGGAGAACAAAUGUGUGUGUUCAGUUCUUGCUCAAAGUAGGUUCAGAUUUGUGCUGGAACGUGUGUUCCCUCUUUUUUGUUUACAUCAAGUCCACAAGUUACUGAAUGCAACACGUUACUGAGACAGGUUGGAUUGUGAGAUGACUGUAAUUUCAUGUUAACAAAGGUUUUUGUCAUUACAUUUCUUCUCUCCUAGCAUAGGGAAAGAUGUCUCUUGUCAGAGAUUAUUUUAGCACUUAGUUUCCUUGUAGCCUUGCAACUGUAAUGCUGCUUGGCUGUCAUCUCCUAACCAGGAAUUUUCAGUAAUAUUUCUGUUCUAGUAUUAGAUAUGGAUGUUGGUGGUCCUGCCUGCAGCAGGGGAGUUGGAGCUUGACGAUCCUUGAGGUCCAUUCCAACCCAAGCCGUUCUAUGAUUCUGUGAUUCUGAUUUCUUUGUCAGUAAGGCUCUCAGCAUUUUACAUCAUUAUCCCCGUUUUGUUUAUACUGAGACUGGAGUAGAGGGUGACACAUGGUCCUAGAAAUCUUCAGGAGAAGUCUGAGUGCUGAAGACUGUCCCUAGUGCCUCAUAGCAGAGUCAGCUGAAUCCUAACUAUUCCUAGUAAAUAUUUACCCUCUGUGUUCUUAAAAUGUGUCGGUGAUGUAGAUUCCAGAACCAAUCUGCUCAAUUUGUUCCAGUAAUUAAUGAUUAUUUUGGGGGAAAAAAAAAAAAAAGCUUUGUCACAUGUAGAUCUUUCUGGACAUACUUCUAAUUCAUAAUGACCACGAUGUAAAGAUUGUUGGUUUUUUUCUCCACUGCAAUUGUGUCUUGCAUAUUGGAAAACAGUUGUAAAGAUUUUAACAAGAUUUUAAGGCUCAGGGGUGAUCUGAUUGCUCUCUGCAACUACCUGAAGGGAGGUUGUGGUGAGGUGGGGGUUGGCCUCUUUUCCUUAGCAAUAGAACUAGAGAGAAUGGCCUCAAGUUGUGCCAGGUGAGAUUCAGGCUGGAUGUUAGGAAAUAAUUCUCCUCUGAGAGAGCGGUCAGGUGCUGAAAUGGGCUGCCCAGGGAGGUGGUGGAGUCACCGACCCUGGUGGGUCGUGAGGGAGGUGGUCGAGAAAUGUUUAGAUGUUGUACUGAGGGACAUGGUUUAGUGGGAAAUAUUGGUCAUAGCUGGAUGGCUAGACUGAUGAUCUUAGAGGUCUUUUCCAACCUUGGUGAUUCUGCGAUUCUAUGAUUCAUUUCCUUUCUAGUCUGAAUUCCAUUAUCUUUACCUUUCCAUGUCUUCCAGAUUUCUGAUCAUUCUUCCUGAUCAUUUCUUGAAUCUCAUGAAUGUAUUUGUACUGGAUGGAGUUCUUGUGCUCAAAAGCAGUCACACGAUGGCUCAUUAGUUGGACGCUGAGCUAACUGCUCUGGCUAUAUAUUUUCUUAUGAGUUGCAAAUCCAGUUAAUAACAGUUUCAUUUAUUCCAUAUUUGUAGGUUAAUAAGAGAAUCUUAGUCUCCUGAAUCCCAUUCAGUGUUCCUUCCAGAAUGCUGUUUGGUUUGACAUGUUUCCUUUAUGUUCCUUUUUCUUUUAUGUUCAGACGGAGGCAAUGAUCUACCUAUGUAGAUCUUACACCUUCCUGUGAAGCAGUUGGCUUGGAGGAAUUAAUGAUAAAUAGAUUUACAGUCUAAUCCAAGGAGGUAACUUCCCCCUUUCUAAGCCCCUGCACAGAUUCACUACUUGUUUCCCUACCAGUGCAAGAACAAAAAUUGUUGGAAUGAAGACCGUUUCCAUGAAAAGUUUAUGAGGAAAAAUAGUGUUCCAAUGAAAACUGACUGUGAUGCAACCACAUUAUGAGACUUUGAAAACUCCUUGGGUUCCAUGCAUCAGUGUAAAAUUGGAAGAGCAACAGAUUUUUCCUUGUAAAGUGCUAAAUGAAAGCAGCUGUAAGCAGGCCGCACAUAAGGGCCUUCCUCUUCAGCUCAGCUGCCCUGCGUUCCUCCUGACAUACAAAAGCUGUGAAAUAUGUCCCGAGUUGCCACCCUUAUGCUGGAUGUGCAGCAAAUGGUGUGUAAAGCUGAAGGAACCCCCAGUAACUAUACAAGAGGGAGAUCAUUUUUCCCUCACAAAUUUUCACCUCUCCUGAAAAAAGGGAGCCGUUCUCAAACUCUAAACAAGUGCUGUAGCAGAGAUGUGGGAUACAGCAACUUGCCAGGAGGUACUGUCGGCUGUCUCCACUGAAUCUUACGGCUUCAUUGAGUUUCGUAUAUGCCAAGAAUUCAAGUAUGAGUGAACUGGAAAAUUUCAGAGGCUAAAGUAUCCAUUUCAGUCUUGGUUUUAUCGAAAGCUGAUUUGUGGAUCAAACAACAGCGGCUGCUGCAUUUGCUUCAAAAUCUAUCUGCAGUGUUUUCUUCUUUUCUUAUUUGAGGCUUUCACCAUUCUGCUUUAACUGUUCACUUUACAAAACAUUUGCAAAGAUUCUGCUAGGUGUUUUCCCACUUACCCCAUAUUAAAAAGCGAUCUAAUGCAAUUUCUUUUUCUGGCUGUCGUCAAUAAACAGGAAUGGCAAACUGUAGCACUGACUACUCUUCUGCAUGUGCCAGAUGGUGUCUUUGAGAAUACACUGCAGAGACUUCCAACGCACCACCCUGCAGAUGAAGAACAUAGGGCCAGCUACUCAACUGGUGCAAAUCAGCAGAGUGCCACUGAACAGCUUGUGCAAACCCAGUUUGCAUUAGAUGUUAUCUGACUCAUGGGAUAAUUAAUAAAAACUGCCGUAUUAUACAUGCUGAUGCUUUUGCAGCUAAUUUGCCUUGUCUUCUAAAUGUCACAGAAAAUGAUUAUGUGCCUCUCGGAGUCAAGUUAAUAUGUAAUACUUGAACGGAGAGGAAUUUUUUCAAGUUGUGAUAGACAUAAGAAGUUUGCCAUGCAGAUACCACAGUAAAAGUAAUGUAAAUAUGUAGAAAUAAUAUGCAAGAUACUGCAUAUGCACAUCUGAAGUUUCUUUUGAAAAGAGUACUGUGCUGUGGGAGCAGUUUAUGCAGACUUCAUAUGCAAAGAAAAUUUUAUAUUUUUCUGAUUUUAGAAGGAAAAUGAAAUAGGGUUAAUAUAUGGAGAGAUGUACAGGUAUUACACAUUAGAGUAGAAAGAACUGAAAAGUGGAAGCUGUUGUCAUGACAGUUCACCUUAGGGAGCGCUUCCUUUGAAUUCUCAGCAUUAUUUAUAACUGUCUUCCUUUGAGUUUGCAGAUGGUCACUGUAGUGACCGUGUGAUUUAAAAAUGCAUUGCAAUUGAUCCAGCUGUAACCUUUAUGUGGGAAGAAUGAUUCGGAUGAUGAAGCAAUGAAACCACUUCCUAGUAACUUUGACUCAAUAAGAAAUGGUGUCUUUUUGUGACCCUUUCUCCAGAAGCAAAGUUAGGGAAUCACAGGACACAAAGCGUCCUGAAAUGCCUUAAGGUUUGCAGGGGGGUCACGUUCCAAAGAUUGUUAGAUUUUGAAUGCUGGGCGCUUAUGUUCCCAUUUACAUGACAGUUUGUCUUGCAGAUGCUGCUGAACAUUCUAAAAUCCUGUUUCUAUUUAUGGUGCUGCUUUUAAGUCUGACCUGAGUUUUUUUUUCUUGAGGCCAUCCUAAAAAUAAAAAAGAUAGCUACACAUGUUAAGUGAAAUACACCAGAGGCGCCUGUAGUCAUGCUGUGUCGAUGCUUCAAAUGCGUGACUUUUGAUGUGAAAAGAAUUCAGUGUUCCAGCCAGAUUUGCAAGGUUAUUUGUCCAAUUUAGGUUAUGUACCCUUUUUUUUUGUAGUAGUAGCUGUUAAAAAAAAUGUAUGAAUGCACCGUGUGCAUCAUUCGUACAAGUGGAAGUUAUAACGAAUGUGUCUCUAUCGUGGAAUUUUAAUGGUACCUUUAAUAAAACACUGUUUGUGUGAUGCUUUUCAAAUUAGCGUACUUUUAAAGCAGCAGUAUUUGGACAGGGCGGUUCUGGUGUGCUUCAAUAGUCCUUAUUUCAUGAGAAAUAUAUGUAAUAUGAAUUUUCUUAAUCCCUUGAAAGUCUUAUAGAAAGGAACGUGUUCUCUGUGAGGGAUUAAUUUGCUUUUGGCCUAUGGCAGUUGGUUAAAACAAAACCAAACCCUGAAAUGUUUAUUUACUGUUAAUCUGAUGAUCCUAACACAUAGGUUGCCUGUUUAUGUGCAUAAGCUACUCCUGCUCGUACUGGUGGUGAGGUUAUAGCAGAUUUCACUGGAAGUGGGAGAAGAUUUCUGUUGGGUUUCCUGAGUGAUAGAUCUAAGUCUUCCCUUAAAAUUUUAAUAAAGUUUUCCUUAGUCACUCUUAUGCUUGAAGCAUCUUACUAGAUUCACACAGGAUCGUUUAGUGCUGUUUCUAUGGUUUUACAAAAAGGAAUUAUAUUUCUGGUACAAAGAUACAAAGGCACAUUGGAAGCCCUGAGAAUUGAGGGAUACUAUUGCUUGCUCUCCUUGAACUCCAUCCUUUUCUCAGCCUCAGGAGAGCUAACGUAGAAACAAUGCUUGCUUUUUAAAAUUUUGGUUUCUAAUUGAAACCAGUAAACAUGCUAAAAAAGAUAAAUAAACAACUAGUAAUGUGAAGAUUUCAUCUUCUCCCACUCCUUUCUUGCUGCACUUUAGAUGCAUCUCCAGCAUCCUAGGCAUCACCCUCGAGGCCCUCGCUUCAAACCCUAUCAUUGGUCUUGUCACAUUGUUCUGAAAGCAACCAUAUACACACAUGCAUAAAUAAACCUCCCUCCUGGCUUGCUUGUGUUCUUGCUCUCCUCGUGUGCUAGUUAAUGCUUUUUUGCUCAUUUCUGAGGGAGGGCUGUGCUGUGCUGGGGGCUACAUGAAGGUAUGGGGAGAGGGUGAUGUAUGGCAGCAGGAAUGGUGCCCCAUUUCAGAGUGCGUGAUGCUCUCUAGUACAGUUGAAUAAAUGUAAAUAUUAAAUACACUCAGAUUAUUGAUUUUUUAAAAUAAUGAGAUGAUAUUCUUUACAGAAUUAUGUGAAUCUGCUUUGAUUUGGUUUUCAUUACGAUUUUGGAAGCUGCAUGAUAUUGAUAAGUCAUGUAGUGUUACUAUGAGUCUUGCUUUUCUGUGAUAGCUGGUGUGUGCUACUGUGUGAAAAUGUAAGCAGGAAUGUUGUUGGCUUUUAAGAAAGCACCAAAUAAAAUAUAUCCUGAAAAUGAAUCUACUUAUGGCAAUGCAAGCAUAGCAUUUAUUUGUUUAAAGUUCACGAUUCACAGAAGCAUCAGGAAGGAGGUUGGAUGACUAUUUUACAAAUUGUAAUCAGCUUGUCUUUCCUAUAUCAAACUGAUGCUGAGAAGUCUUUUCCUUAAUGACCUCAGUGUGAAAUUAAGAUCAACAACCUUUUUUGGUUUUGCUUUGUUUUACAUCUUUUAAAGGAAGAAGUUUCCUGGAGAGAAAGGCAGCGGGUAAGAUAUAAGCUACUAUGUACAGUAAGAAGUCUGAGAGAAACUGAGUGGAAUUCUCUGCUCCUUUGUUAUCUAGGAUAACACGUCUUUGUUUUAGUUUUUGAGAUAAGAACAAACAAAUGCAUGGAUGACCAGGUAUCUCUAACACUUUUCAGGCUUAAAUAAUAUGUUCUUGUCUUUG